rnacentral:rRNA from 1 species
GAUUUCUGGUUUGUACCCUCUAGCCGGCCACGGUUUCGUGUGUUAGUGCUGGGUGGUCUGGCCAUCCUUCCAAUCGCACGUCGGUCGGCCUUCAUUGGUCGGUCGGCGUGUAUUGGAUCUUUUACUUUGAAAAAAUUAGAGUGUUUCAAGCAGGCUUUAUGCUAUGAAUACAUUAGCAUGGAAUAAUAAUUUAGGACUUCGGUUCUAUUUUGUUGGUUUCUAGGACUGAAGUAAUGAUUGAUAGGGAUAGUUGGGGGUGCUAGUAUUCAGCGGCCAGAGGUGAAAUUCUCGGAUUCGCUGAAGACUAACUUAUGCGAAAGCAUU